rnacentral:rRNA from 1 species
UACGGAGGGUGCAAGCGUUAUCCGGAUUCACUGGGUUUAAAGGGUGCGUAGGUGGAUUAGUAAGUCAGUGGUGAAAUCUCCGAGCUUAACUCGGAAACUGCCAUUGAUACUAUUAGUCUUGAAUUAUCUGGAGAUGAGCGAAUAUGUCAUGUAGCGGUGAAAUGCUUAGAUAUGACAUAGAACACCAAUUGCGAAGGCAGCUCACUACGGAUAUAUUGACACUGAGGCACGGAAAGCGUGGGGAUCAAACAGG